rnacentral:lncRNA from 1 species
UAAUUUAGAUACAUACAAUAAACAGGAUUGUACAGACUGUAUAAAAAUUUCAGUUAAAAUAAAUACUAUACAUUUUUUAAGAGGUACUUAAAAAAAUAAAAAAUAAAAAAAUAAAAAAUGUCACUAAAAAAUAUCCCCCCUACUUAUUGAAACUAAUUUAACCACCGACUAAGCUUAGAAUUUGUACUACAACAAAACAAAUAAUUGUAAACACCUAACUUAAGAUUCCAAAUAUAUAUAUAUAUAUAACAAAAAUAUCAACACAAAAUUAAUUCAUAAGCUCAAAUAAUAAUAUAUUUAUCACAUUUCUUAACUUCAAAGAUAAAUUAUGUAAAAUUAACAGUAAAUUAUUAGAGUGAUGGAAAGGGAAUCCGUAUUAGAAAUAAUGUAUAGUACAUAUAUAGAUUGUAGAUACAUAUAACAAAUAAUUAAGUAUCCAAAAAAAUUGUUCAUGAUUACCAAGUAAUUCAAAAAGGUUAUACGCAAAAAUUAUUCAAAAGUUCUCCAAUUACGUUUUAUAAAAAUAUAAAAUUGUAUUUUACAAGAAUUGUGAGGGAUAAAAUUAAAUAGAAAAUACAUCUACUCAGACAAUUAAAUCAAUUAUCAAAUGGGGUUUUCAACGGUUUUCAACCAAGUAUUUAGAACUUCUAUUACAUAUUCAGGGCUAUUUCAAAUAUGAUUCAUUCAGUUUUUUUAAUCAAAUAAUCCCUAGGUAUAUUAAUUAAUGGGACAACUUAACAUUCUUUAUUUAUCAUUGGCCUCCUCCUUUAUGUUAAAGGAAUCUCUAGUUAAUGCAAAAAAUAUACUUCUUCCCUUUCGAAUUAUAAAAUUAUUAUUAAUUUUUUAAAAUUAAUUUAUAAUAUUUUUUAAUUUAAAAUUGACAUAAUUUUUUUUAAAAUUUUAAAAUAAUUAAUUUAUAGCUAAUAAUAUUUUUUAGAUAAUUUAUAAUAUUUAUAAUUGUAUUUAUAUAAACUAAACGAAUUCAUCUCAAUUUUGAGUUUGAAAAUAUUUAAAAUAAAUUUUUUACAAGUCAAUUUGGAAUGGGGGAAGUAUGCUAAUAAGUUCUAAAAAUUGUAUAUAUUUCUAAUUUUAUGGUAUAAAUUGACUUGAAAAUUGUAACAUACCAUAAUUUAUAUUUACUUCAGCACUAUAUUAUUGUAUUUUUAACAAAUGUUAUAUAAAUAUAUUUGAAAAAAAGAGAGUUUCUUAUUAGAAAUGGCUCUUCUGACGGAGAAAACUAGCUACCAUAAUUACGGGAUGAGUGGUCUUUAAUUAACUAUCUAACUGAACCAAGGCAAAAUUUUCUUAGAAUUAUUAAGAAACUAAUUAAUUAAUCAGAUAGACAGAGCGAAAUAAAUAAAUAAAUAAAAUUGUGUGAUCAUAGUACGUAGUUACGUGAGUUUGAAGAACAAGUUUUAUUAGUGGCAUAAUUGAGGGAUCCGUGAUGGAAUAGAAAGUCCAAAUUAAUUAAUUAGGAAUCAUUAAGCAAUUAAUUAAUAAUAUCACCACAUUACCAACGAGAAGCUAUAUAUAUAUAUAUAUAUAUAUAUAUAAUACUACUAUUGAUCAUGGGAUCCCAUGCAUCUCAUCUUUGUACGAGAGGAAAAUAAUAUAUAGAUAGACAGACAGAUAGAUAGAUAGAUAGAUAAAAAGGUCAGAGUGAAGAAUUAGCUAGGAGCUAGGAGGAGCAACAUUAAUUUGGAAGUUGAGAAGGAGAAAUGGCCAAGAGGAUUAGUAUGGCCAGCAUCACAAGUGGAACAAAGAGUAGCGUUGACGGCGGCGGAUGAAGCGGCGGCAACAGCAGCGGCAGCAGCAAGAGCGCCGCCGUAAAGACCACCGUACUGAUGAUUAAAGCUCUCAAACUAAAACACUUGUGCAUCAAAGCACUACUCGUCUUCAACUGCCUCUUAUCAUCCAAUGACACUACACGUCGACUAUGAUCCAAACCAUACACCAUCAUCUUAAUCCAAUCGAUCUCUUCUUGUUUGUCAGCUAGAUAUAUAUAUAUAGAUGCGAAUUAAUUUCUGUAUUUGUUGAUACUAUAUAUAUAUAUAUAUAUAGAGAGAGAGAGAGCAGAGAGAGAGAGUGUUGUGUAGGUCGUCAUUUUGACAAGUGAGUUGAACAAACCAUACAAACCUAUUUUCGAAUUCUAGGUUGGAUUCGUAGCACCAAGGCCCCGUUCGCCCUCAUCAUAUCGACUUAGACACGUAACUCUCUUUCCCUUUCACUUCUCUCCCACACUACGCAAGUGUCCAUUCAUCAAUAUAAUAAUAGUUAUUGUAUUACUAAAGUUUUUAAUCAAAUUAUAAUCGUGUACAUAAAAUAAAUAUGCAUUAAAACUAAUUUUAUCAUAAUUUAUUUUAUCUUAUUACAUAAAUUUUAUAUAUGUAUUAUAAUUUAACUUCGUCAUGUAUCACAUAUUUAUUAAUGUGUAUCAUUUUCCAUUAUAUAUAUAUGUACAUGCUUAAUGAUGUGUCAAAAAAAUUUCUACAAAUUGUAAAGGAAUACUUACCGCACUUAUUGUAAAGGAAAUUCAAGUGUCUCUAAUUAAAAAAUGCUUUAAAAAAGUUAUUACAAAAUGUCCGGAUAAUUAGACAAAAUUUGUUUAUAUUUGUGUAAAUAAGAAUAUGAGACCCCUUACGUGUUAACUCGAUAUCACACUCUCCUCACUUGAUUAUACAAUUAAACUAUCUAUCUUAAAAUUAAUUGAGUAUAAGAAGAAUUGACCUGACACGCUAUAUACUAGACAAACUUUCUAAAAUAUUUAAUGUGGAAUAAGUUAGUGCAUAUAUUAUAAUAAAUAAUAUUGCACAUUACGUAUAUUAUACUAAUAAAUAAAUAUAAAUUUCCAAUAGUUAGAAAUAUUUUAAUGCUAAUAGGAUAAGACAAAUUCAGGAUGUUUACCCUAACCACUGUUAUGCACGUACGACUGAUAGCACCAACAACCAAGAAAAUGAAAUCCAACUUUAUUUUGUGCGUGGUUCAAUACCCCAAAAAAGGGAGCCAUAUAUAUUUGGUGGUGAAAGAUAUAGAUUUUGGAUUCUUUCCACGUUACGAUCUGAGUUACUUACAGCAUUAAUUAGGUUCAAGUGAUGUGGUCCUAGUUUAGCUUAAUUUAUGAACAUCAUCAAUAUUUAAUUUUAAUUCUUUGUCAUGUAUUGGGGAAAUUUUUUUGAAAAUCGAUUUUACCUAGUCUUAAUUUUGUGUACAAGUUGAAACACUAGAAAUGAUGGGAUAAUUUGGAUUUGAAGGUUGGAUUCCUACUGAAAAAGGAGGUUGUAAUGUUCCAUUUUACCCUUCAUAUAAUGAAAUAUUAUAAUUAAGCAUCCUCUAACCCUAAAAAUUGAAAUUAUGAAACAACAAGAUAUGAUGAUGGGGCUAUUAUUAAGUCUUUCAACGGUCAAGUCUAAAAAGAUGGUACAAACGGUUAAAAAAUUAUAUUGGAACGUUGUUAUUCUAUUCAAUAAAAUAAAAUAAAUUAAUCAUUAUAUUAAGUACUUAAAUAUGAAUUGGGAGAAAACGUCUUAUAUGUAUUAAGUUUUUGUUGCGUUUAAGAGUAAAAAAUUCAUUUGUCUUUUUCAAUCUUAAAAUGAAUAUAUAGAUGUGUAUAAAACUUUUUGAGACAACAAUUAAGACAAAACCCUAAUUGUUUUACUUAUAAAAUAGCUAGAUAAGGGCAGAGGCGGAACCCGGGGGUCCGGGGGAUCAUAUGACCCCCCCAACCUAGAAUUUCUCCAGGGGUUAUUUGCUUUCAUUUCCCUUCUUUUUUCUUUUAUGUAUUUUCUUUUCUUCUUUGCUUUUCUCUCGCUUUUGAUUUAUCAUCAAAAUGAGACAAAAAAAGGUGAUAGCAAUUCUCUCUGUAAACUAAUUAAAAAUAAAAGACUAAAGAAAUAAAAUAAUUUUUUUUAAAUCCCACUAUAGUAACUAUAAGUUCACCAUAAUUCUAUCCUAUCAAACGACUUGAAUAAGAAUAUCCUUGUUUAAAUGCAUGCUAGUUACAACUCAAAAGUCAAAUUAAAGAAGGCAAUGAUGAAAACAAUGCUUUAAUGUUUGACAGGGGCAGCCUGGAGAAAUUCUAUAGUCAGCCAAAUGAUUUAGUGCCCUGCAAUGUUUGGAACCUAUUUAAGGUACUUGUUUCUUUUGGUUGUGCAUAUAACCUGUAAAAGAUUGGGACAGCCUGGAGAAAUUCUAAUCUAUUUGUUUCAAACAGGAUAACGAAUUCCUUCGUACGUGAUACCAACCAACCAAAAUAUUAAAUCAAAUGCAACUGAUCAUGGUACUCCAUGCUUGAUUUUGAAAUCAAAAUAUGAAAAAUUGCUAAAUCAUUUACAUUAAUUAAUUAUCUGAGCAUAGACAGGAUACUUGAACUUGGAUCAUUUUCCUAUUGAAAUCACAGGAAAAAUUAGAACCAUUAUUGAUGCAAUUUUUCUAGGGAAGAAUAUCAACAAGGAAGUCGUACUUAAAUAUUUGCAUACACUUGUGCUCAGCUUGUCGUUAUACCCUCCAUAUAUAUGUUAUCUCUAGCUAGACACGUACGUAAUUUUCUGAUCAACAAUGUUAUCUCUAGCUAGAAAGGCCCAAUUUUAUGCACAUUCAUCGUAGUUCUAUUGCUAUAUAAAUGGAUUGUUUAAGAUGCAUAAGUACUAUUACUCAUGAAUCGGUCACUAACUUGAGACAUCCCAAAAUAUUCAUGCUUUUUGGUAUUUCAAUGCAACGAUAAUUGGAGUGGACUGCAUUAUCUUUCUAAAGAAAAAGUUUGUUGAACCCCACCAUCAGUUGCAUUUGAUUUAAUUGCAAAAUUGAAAUGAUCAGUGGUAUUAGGAUAAUAACAUUAAAAUAUUCAUGCUAUUUUGUAUUCUUAAUUCUUGACUAAAACAGAAAUAAAAUAUCAAGAAUCAUAAUUAUUAUGCAAGUGAACAGAAAAAAUGGCGAGGACAAUAUAUAUUCUACAUAUGUUAUCGACAUAUCCAUAUUUCAAUGAGACAGUUUAGUAAUGAAGCCGUGUAUGAAUAUUAGAAAACUGAAAUCUAUACUACACUCUGGCUGAAAUGGGGGAGAAUUAACAAGUUUAUGUCAAGUACCCCCAAACUAUAUGAUUCAUUUAAUAGAAUAAAUUAAAUUAAUUAUUAUAUUAGGUAUUUACAUGAAUUGAGAGAAGACAUCUUAUAGGUAUCACGUUUUCACUGCGCUUAAGGGUGAGAGUGUUCAAUUGUCUCUCUGAAUUUUUGAGAUGACAAUUAGAAUCAAACCCUAAUUAUUUUAUUUAUAAAAUAACUAAGAGUAAAAAUUGUCCAUUCUAGAGUCCAUUAAACUAAAUACUAUCAAUAAUAUUAUUUAUAGACCACAUAAUUAUUAAAUUGAUAAAUAAAAUGAUUAAAUUAAUGUUAAAUAAUUUUAUAAAUAGUAGAGUUGGCGAUGACGAGUUAUUCGAACUAUGCUCAUCCGAGACAAGCUUGUUUAGGCAAUUCAUUUUCCUUUUCUGAAAAAACAUGGUCAAGUGUGAAAGACUUUGACUGAUUUUAAGGAUGGAAUUAAAGCAAGAAGACGAGGCUAGCUUAGCCAAUGACAUUAUGAAUAUAAAUGAUGCGUUGCGACGAGCAAAUUAAAAAGAUUGGAAUCGUAAUUAGUGAAUAGAUGAUGAUCACCUUAGACCUUAUUCUUUGACUUUGUACGACAAAAGCAUGUACUACUGCUUGAUUGAUUACUUUAAUUUUCCAAGUUGUGUGUAAAAGUAAAACCCACUCGACACUCAAAAAACUAUAUAUCGGAUUCCGACCUAUCUAACCAUUUGGCAAUUUCUGACCACAAGCUUUAUAUAUAUAUAUAUAUGUGCCAUAAAAUUAAUUAAUUCCUACAAAAAAUUCAAAUGUUGCUAAAUCAUUACACGGGAUUAUGCAUUGAACAAUAUGGUGAAAAGGGUAGAGAUAAUUGUCACUUGUUUAUUAUAUACAUGCAAUAAUUGUUUUUCCUUUUGGGAACAGUAGAGAAAAAUUCAAUACAUACCCAUUUCAUCAUAUCAACUAAUCAAUCCUAUAAUCGACUAACAAUUCACAAAAUAUCAACAACUAAACUAACCCGACAAAAAAUCAAAUCAAAUCUUUCAACCUCUCUCCACCUUUUUCCCAAACCAGCCAAUUAAUACAAAAAUGUCAAAAAUCAACCGAAUCCCCAAAAGCCAAAGUACAAAAAAAAAAUCUCUUAAGCACCUACUACCUAAUCUACUUGGAUUUUAAUGGGUGAAAUCAACAUUUUAAACAAGGCUUUCUUAAUUUAAGGUAUUAAAUUAUUUUAAUUUUUAUAAUUAAAAAUAAAAUUAAUUAUUCCUAAAUUAACAAAAAAUCAAUUAAAAAUAAAAUAAAAUUUUAUUCUUUUUCUUAUAUCCCUAAAUUUAGUUGUCAUCAUCAAAAUUACAUAAAAAGUGGAGACCUAAUUAACAGAAAACAUCAAUAGUAUGCAUAUUUAGGCUAAAUUAAAAUUAAUAGUACCAAAUUUGAAAGACAUUUAGGCUAAAUUAAAAUUAAAAAUUAGUUAAAUUACUUACCAAAGAGAAAAGCAAAGUAGCAGACAAGCAGGCAAGCAGCAGUGGUUAAGUGGCGGACGGCGGCGUGCGGCGGCCGGCGGCGGCAGCAGUGACGGGCGGCCGGACGCAAUGGAGCUGUCAGCUGUGGAGCUUGGAGGCGACUCAGGCGAGGUAAACUGGCAAAGAAAUGAAGAGAGGCGAGGUAUUUGUGUUAAGAAAUAAGAAAGAGUCCCAGCCAUAAUAAAAAAAAAUUAAAAUUUUUAAAUGAAACGACGUCGUUUUAGUUUGAAAAAAAAAAAGAAGAAAAAAAGAAAAGAAGAAGAAGAACUCCGCUGCUCGCCCCUAGCUCUGUCUGUCGCCGGCGCCACCCUACCGGGGGCAACUGCCCCCCGCCUGCCUUUCCGCCCGCCCGCCUACCUAGUUCCGCCACUGUCUCUGCAUAUUCAAUGGUUGAAAAAUGAUAAGAAAAAUAAAUAAACUUCAAAGUUUCACUCAUGAUAAAUAAAUGAAUCAGAAAUAACAUAAUUAAAAAAAUUCUAUUAUUUGUGGCCUACAUGCAUUAUUUUUUUACGAGCCCAAACAUAUAACUGUACUACGUCAAUUGAAUCAGACACCAUGAUUGAUUUCUUUAUUGGAAAGCAACGACGCAACUUAAUCUAUAUAAAAUAGAUUACAACUUUCUCUCUCUCUCUCUCUAUAUAUAUAUAUCAAUAUGCUAGGUUCAUUGCACAUCUCUCUCUCUCUCUCUCUCUCUCUCUCUCUCUCUC